UCAAUUAAUUGGAUUCCUCAGAUUUGGCAUUCAUCCAAGAAUCUUCAGAGUUUCAGUCAGGUCAGAGCUGCCCAUAACACACUGGGCCAGCUAAGUUCAGAAACAUGGCAUCUUGGAUGGUUCAACUGGUCAAAAGCUAAAGAAAGUCUGAAGUUACGGGUGGCUUACCGAGUCGAGCAAGAUGUUGGAGGCCUUGAAGUCGCGGUAGAUCACCGGCGGGUCGGCAUCGUGGAGAAAGGCAAGGCCCUUGGCCGCGCCGACAGCGAUCUUCAUCCUUGUCAUCCACGGGAGAGAGCCAUUGGUACCUGAAGAUGGUAGGAUGUUUCAGGAACGAGUGAACGACUGGUCGAACCGUACCUGAAGUAAAAUUGACAGAAAGCGCAGGGCCUUUUAGCUAAACCAUUCACCUUGGGAAAUUCCAAUUUGGACUUUGUGCAAGCCGUUCUGGUGAAAAGUAGAGUGAGUUGCUCUAGGGACUGGAAGUUUCAAGAUCAACAAACACAGAAGAAGAGAACGGCCUGGUAAGCUGAAUAUUUUUUCUUAUAAACACCCGAGUUGUUACUACCUGUAUCUUUAAGAAAUAGGCGAAAUUCAAGGUAGCACACCCGUUUUACCGGUCAAAAUUAUACGUUACUCCGUUUUACCGAGUAAACAUGAUAGAAGUUCCACAGUAGUCCAAAGCCAAAACAGAAUUUCGCUUACUUUUUUUGCAGUCAAUUUUGCUUACUUUAGUAGGUAGUGCAGAUUAAUACAGUUUAGAUUAGUCAUGGCUAUAGAGAAAAAAACACGUUGGCUUAUUUUGUCGGGAGCCGAUAUAAUUGUGUAGACUGGCAAGAAUAUGAAUAUCGUAAAUUUUACACACAUGAACCAUAUGUAGUCAUUUUGGGAAUAGACACAUGUAACCAUAAUUAUCUUAAGCAGUGUACAAUUCGGCUAGAGUAAACUACGGAUGUUGCUUCUUUGUUGGCCCUUGUGUGGUAACAGUAGAAGUGCACGCAGCCUUUGUGCAUAAUCAUCGCAUUCGACGCCGUGUAAGUCGUGCCGGAGAGGAUUAGGAUUGAGCAGGCCGACGUGGUCUACGUACAGCGGAGUAGGGGUUCAACCGGGAAUCUCCUUUUGCCGGAUAAUGCCAUGCGGUGCAGACAGGGGGAGUGUUACCAUCAGAAUGUUUUACAAGUAAACUCAAUCCUUCUUCUUUCUCAGGUUACUGUGUGCCUCUUUGCUACAUGUAGAUUAACUAGAUUUGCUGCCUGGUCUUAGCUCACCCUUUCCAUCCUUGCUAUCAAAUUAUCAAGUGGCCCAACUGGUAGAACCUUAGCAGGUUUGAAGCUAGUUUUCUGCCCAAUCCUAGUUGCAUAUUAGGCGAAGGAAUGCGAUCCCUAGAGUCUAGAGAUGUAUAGCCUCAUUGAUUCACAAGAUUUUUAAAACGCAGGAACAAGAAAAUACAAAAUUGAAGUGGCAUGCCCACUUAAUCCUAUACAUAGGAUUAACAAACCACAAGAUUUUGGUAGUACCGACGUUGUUGUAACAAUGUUGACGUGCUCUGGACUCUAUUUAUUUCGUGUAGCAGUUGUACAACUUGAUGCUUUGGUUGCUUCAUGGUCUCAUGGAUCAUCAUGAAGUUCAUGUCCGAAGAACUUGUUAAUAAUAAACCUGAAAACUGUUGUCCGUUAGUUCCACAAGACACCGGAUGUAGCUGCAUGCCCGUACCAAUAUCCGAACCACCCUAGGCACAGAAUCUUUCACCAAUUAUAUAGGACAUCUUAUAAGUAGUCGGAGGCUAGCGAACAUCCUGUCCAUCGCUAGAAAGACAAAGCGAAUCAUGAGGCCACAUGCCCUAUCUUGUAAACAAACCCGAAGAAGUCCACGUGUAGGUGCUCUAAUCUCUUGGCUCUGUCUUGUCUCCCUGCAAGUUGAAUUCAAAUGUCUCCAAGAUGUCGUAUCGGCUCACCGCCGUUUCACAUAAAAACAGCCUAGAUAGGUCACACGUUUGCAAAUGUUAUCUCAAUUCUUGCUCCAGAGGACUGUUUUAAUUAGCCCACAGUGCCUCUUAGAAUAAGUCAAUUGUCGAAACUCGCCCUUCCGAGAAAAUGGCAGGAAAAGGAAGAGAAGCCACGCAAGAAGGUCUUUUCGUGCCCAGGUGAUGAAAGAAACGUUCCGAUGCGCUGUUCAAUGCCUGCGUUGCCCAGCGAUCUCAUGUGCGAUCAUUCAACGGAAAUGAUUCUUAAAUUAUUUUAUUUGAGGCUGAGGUGCUCCGGCGGACUAGGGUUAAUACCCUUCUUCUGUUUCUGGAUUGUUCUUCCCUCUCUGAAUUCCUUUCUAGAUUCUUCUUUUACUCUUGGUCGGGGAAGAGUAUUUACCAUCACCCGCGAAGAAGAAGAGGAGUUUUUACAAGGUCGGUAGCGUUAUGGCAACGACAAUCUACGGUCUGGGAUGGUGAAAGGUCUUGCAGUGUCUACAUGCAGCGACGGUAAAAACGUGCUUGAUUACCAUGUCCGGUCAGACGUCCACGGCUCCGGUUGGCCUGCGUUGCACCGAGCGUCUGAGACGGUGGCCCUUUUCUUUUUUCUCUCCAUGACGAUAAUGGAUGGAUGGAUGCACCGGCCAAACCAACAAGGCACUCAUUAGUCAUUACCGGACCCCAGGGGACACUGACAGCGACCAUUCCAAAGUCCAAAGGUAGUACCUUCUGUGUAUCCGGGAUCCAGCCAGGCAUCCAAAAUCCAGUUAACAAUCCUUUCGAAAAGAUGCACGAACAAUAUUGUACAAUAUGUCGGAUGCCAACAAGAGGUUCAGGGCCUGUUUGGUUUGUGACUAACUUUGCCAAAGAUUGCCACACCUAAAGUUAGGCAAGUUUGACCAACUUAAGUGAGUGUUUGGUUCAAGCCACAUCUUAGGCAAGCCCCACUUGGGCCGCACAUAGCAUACACAUAAAAAAUGUGGCAAGAUUCCCUUAGGCUUGCCAACUUGUGGCUUUCAUUUUGAUGAACUAACCUUAGGCAAGCUUGGCAACAAUGUGUGGCAAAGUGUGGCAAUGCUAGGCCUAGAACCAAACAACCCCUCAAGUUUUUGUUGUUGAGAGAAAGCAAAGUGAUUCAGAUGAACAGUUGCAACUUGCACCGCUUUCUAUCCGGACGCCA